rnacentral:rRNA from 1 species
UUAAUGUCCAGGAGAGUGGCCUUCCGCAUGGAAGGCUGACUAGAGAUUCAUCGGUAUGGGAUGAGCUUGCGUCCGAUUAGCUAGUUGGCGGGGCAACGGCCCACCAAGGCGACGAUCGGUAGCCGGCCUGAGAGGGUGAUCGGCCACAUUGGGACUGAGAUACGGCCCAGACUCCUACGGGAGGCAGCAGUAGGGAAUAUUGCACAAUGGGGGAAACCCUGAUGCAGCAACGCCACGUGUGGGAAGAAGCAUUUCGGUGUGUAAACCACUGUCAUGAGGGUAUAAGGCCCUUAUCCGUAAGGGAUUGAAUGUACCUUGAGAGGAAGCACCGGCAAACUUCGUGCCAGCAGCCGCGGUAAUACGAGGGGUGCAAGCGUUGUUCGGAAUUACUGGGCGUAAAGGGAGCGUAGGCGGAGAUUCAAGCGGAUUGUACAAUCCCGGGGCCCAACCCCGGUUCUGCAGUCCGAACUGGAUCUCUCGGAUAGUUCAGGGGCAGGCGGAAUUCCUGGUGUAGCGGUGGAAUGCGUAGAGAUCAGGAAGAACACCGAUGGCGAAGGCAGCCUGCUGGGGACUCAUCGACGCUGAGGCUCGAAAGUGCGGGUAGCAAACAGGAUUAGAUACCCUGGUAGUCCGCACCGUAAACAAUGCAUACUGGGUGUCCGGGGGUUCCCCCGGGUACCGUAGCCAACGCGUUAAGUAUGCCGCCUGNNNAGUACGUACGCAAGUAUGAAACUCAAAGGAAUUGACGGGGGCCCGCACAAGCGGUGGAGCAUGCGGUUUAAUUCGAAGCAACGCGCAGAACCUUACCAGGGUUUGACAUGGAAACGCCGCGGCGAGAGAUAAUCACUA